CAGCACCUGUAGUUUGCACAACCCCAGAGAACUCCUCCUGUUUACACCGUGACGUCAUUCAUCAACACGGCUGGAUCUGAGAGGGAGAAUCUGGCAUGGAUGGAUUCCAUCAAUAAACUGGAUGAGGUGAUCCACAGAAAUGGUGAACAUGAUGAGCUUUCCCCACAUUCCCAGAAAUAUCUGGGCACCAUGUGGGAUUUUGGCCCUAUGGACAUCAAACUCGGCUGGAAUCCACAGACUAUUGGUCCUGAAGCCUGAAGAGAAACCUUCAUGUUGACUCCACUGAAGAAGAGAACAUGGAUUUACAUUUGCCAGGUUGCCGGAAUCACAACUCCAAAGGCAUGUUAAUGUUCCCCUUUGUCUUCUGGAUAUGUAAAUAGGCCACUGUUUGACAGUUUUGUUGGUGGUUUGAAUAACCAUAUAAACGUUAUAACGUGAAGUCAGUGUUAUGUUUAAAGCUUGUGCACUGCCCCUGAGAAAAAUAAGUGUGCAUCUUUAAGUUUCAAGUUUUAAGUUAAGAAAAUACCUCAUCCAAAAUAAAAUGUAUGCAUGUACAAUAAAACAAACUAAGCACAGCAAAUACUAACCAUCUAUCUUACUGAAAAUCAGCUAUCAUGCCGGUCCUGCGUCUCUGCUUCCUCACCUUUGAAAGAGCUUCUCUUCCUUGGCUUUGAGGUUUUGUUUGAAUCCUCCCUUGGAGUGGCUGAUCCUGGCAUCACAGCUCAGCUUCUUUGGCUUGUAGCAGAACCAAGGCUCGCCUGUACGGAGGUCAGUGUAAUUGCACAGCGGCUGCUGAGUUGGACGUAGGCAGACGUUACAGGUAGUAGUUUCAGAAAGAGAGCCUGAACGGAAGAGGCUCUGGAAAUAAACCCUGUCUGGCUGUUCACUGGUCAGCCUGCGCAGCACUGUGACAGCCUCACUAGGGUGAACCAGCGUCACCUGAUGGGACAGAGAACCAGAAUUUUCACUAAGUCCAGUCAUGUUUAGUCAUUAACGACAA